UAGUUUGAAUAUAAAACAUGUAGAAUAUUUGGGCCAGAUAUGACCGGUUUAAAUAGUAAAGGGUUAACGUAGUUCGCCGGGAGAUUCAGUGUGACACAGAGUGUGACAAGACUGGCCCCUUGAAAUACAGGUACAACAGAAACAGGAAGAAAGAGUGAGAGAAAGUUGGAGCGAAACAGUACA